AUGACAGACCACCUUCAAGUUCAGCAACAGAAGUUGGAGCUACCGCCGGGGUUUAGGUUCCACCCGACGGAUGAGGAGAUCAUAAAAUUCGAUGUGGUCCCCAAGGUGCUCGAUGAAGCCUUCGUCGCUGCGGCAAUUGAGGAUGUGAACCUCAACAAGUACGAGCCAUGGGAGCUACCGGAGAAGGCGAAGAUGGGGGAGAAGGAGUGGUACUUUUACUGCCGAAAGGAUCGCAAGUACCCCACCAGGAUACGAACGAACCGGGCGACGAAUGCUGGCUAUUGGAAGGCCACCGGAAAGGACAAGGAGAUCUUCCACCCACCGCUCACACUCAUCGGCAUGAAGAAGAUGCUCAUCUUCUACAAGGGCAGGGCGCCUAGGGGGGAGAAGACCAACUGGAUCAUGCAUGAGUAUAGGCUUGAGAGAAACAAGCAGCUCACAUCCAACCCGUCCACCGCAACCCGCACCGUCACCAUCACCAAUGCGGCUUCCAAGCCCGCCCGUGGAGAAGCCCUAGCCGCCGCCGCCGCCUCCCGUCCCACUCGCCUCCCCCUCCUCGUCGCCCCUCCUUCUUCUCCUUCCCCGUCCUCGUCGCCCCUCCUCCUUCUCCUCCCAUUGUCGCCCCCUCCUCCUCCGCCCCUCCCCCCUCCCACCCCCCGCAUCUCGUCCGCCCCGGGUGCGGAGGCUAGCUGCUGCACCCACUCCCCUCCUCCAACUCCCCCACCCCUCCUCCAAUGGUGCUCCCUCCCCGGUCGAGCUCUAGGGCCGCCGCCGCCUGGCACCACCUAUGGCCGCGGUCGCUGUUGGCAGCACCUUUGCCCGUCUCCGCCUACGCUGCCGCCUCCUCUGAUGGCCAUCGAAGCCAGGCACCAGCUGCAGCUCCAGCUCCACCUCGGCCCCUCCUCCCCACCCACGAUAUGGAAGAUCUAA
rnacentral:rRNA from 1 species